GGAAUAUUGCACAAUGGGGGAAACCCUGAUGCAGCGACGCCGCGUGAGUGAAGAAGUAUUUCGGUAUGUAAAGCUCUAUCAGCAGGGAAGAAAAUGACGGUACCUGACUAAGAAGCCCCGGCUAACUACGUGCCAGCAGCCGCGGUAAUACGUAGGGGGCAAGCGUUAUCCGGAUUUACUGGGUGUAAAGGGAGCGUAGACGGCAAGGCAAGUCUGAUGUGAAAUCUGGGGGCUCAACCCCCAAACUGCAUUGGAAACUGUUUAGCUAGAGUGCAGGAGAGGUAAGUGGAAUUCCGAGUGUAGCGGUGAAAUGCGUAGAUAUUAGGAGGAACACCAGUGGCGAAGGCGGCUUACUGGACUGUAACUGACGUUGAGGCUCGAAAGCGUGGGGAGCAAACAGG
rnacentral:misc_RNA from 1 species